CGUGAAGGUGAAGUCCAGGGUUAGAAGUCAGUUUCUUCUGGAUUUCCUUCAUGGCUGAAAUUUGUUAACAAAAGUUGAUUACUGCCAUGUGCUGCCAACGGCAAAUGACCUUCAUCUCAGCAUUUUUCCAUGGUGAGCUUUGCCUGGAAUUGGAGAAAAAGAAAAACUGAAAUGAACAGCUCACUGUGACUGUGCAGCUUGAGUCACUUGAACCAUGUCAGAUGACAAACUAUUCUUAGUGGUCCUUCCGUGCAGUCAACUUAUCUUCCAACGAGGAAAGAAACCCUUUUUCUCAGCUCCUAAGGGAAUGAGGGGGAUUACUAAAGAGAAGGAAUUUGACACGAUUGAAAAAAACAGAUGAAAAUGGAAGGAUUCCCUGCAGUUGAUCAGUUCUGCCCUGCACAGCAGGCAUCACACGGUUAGUAAGAGUUACUACAGAGAUUUCCAGGAAGAUUUGUACAAAGUAGAAGAAAUACAAUGAGGAAAUAUAAAACCUCCACUGUGUAAGUCAACUUUUAUUUGUUUAUCUUUUUGCAAAACUGAACUAUGAAUUUAUCUUCAAUGUCUUGAGUGAACUCCACACUUCAUGCUUCUGUAUCCAACCAACUCAAAACAACCAAAUAACUUCAGAAAAGGAAAAAAUAAGUCAACCAAGAAACAACAACUCUCUUUGGUUUGACUGAUCUGAGCUUUUUAAAAUUUUAUUUAUUUAUUUAUUUAUUUAUUUUCAUUAUCCCUGCUUCGUGAGCUUGGUAGUUAGAACAAGAGACUUCUGUUUUGACAGCCUGUCUCCUGGGUUCCCCACUGAAAAGGCCAAAGCUCCCAGUGAAGCAGCAGUAGCUGCCUUUAAACAGGAGACGAGCACUUCUUGCUUUCCUGUGCUGCAUGCAAAUAGAGAGGCUCAGUGUUACCCAGCUCUGCCAAGCUUCCCCCUAAUGUGCCUUCUGCAUGGCAAUGGCCGGUACAAGUGAUCAUCCAGCAUCGCGUCUUUGAGCCUGUUAAUGUCUCUGACCCCGGUCCACUGAUCACCCGCUUCGGCAGGGGACUCGUCAUCUGUACAAACAGCGUUUACAGAGCCCGCAGCCUCCUGGCUGUACGUGACAGAGAGCACUGCUUUAUGCUCUGGCUGUUCAGCAGAGCUCAGAAGGGCAGCUGCCCCUUCCAUGCUUGUAAGUAACACUUCCAUGACAACACCUUCAGCUCAUUAGUUUUGUUUAUUUCUUUCUAGAAUGGCAGUAUAUUUUCUAGAGUUUUUUUAAGUGCACUAAAGAAUGGGCCAUCAUAUCUGUUACUAAGCUACCCACGGGGUAAUUCAGAAAAAGGCUGGAGGUUUUAAAAACAGAGGAGAGAUGAUCACACUGCAGAAACUAUAUUUAAUCCUUCAACCCCCACCUCACCACCUGAUCCUCUGCUGCAGUGCCAGUACCAGAGCCCAAUACAUACAUUCAUAGUCACACGUGCAUGAAAGUGUGUUUAAUAAAAUGAGAAACUCUAAACUCAAAAUUGAUAAUACCUCAAGAAAAGGUAGUCGAGAUGCUGCCCUCUUCUACCUUGCUGUUCAUUUAUUUCUUUGAUGAAGGAAAACGUGGUGCUGCCUUCCCUUUGCCAAGGGGAAAUCAAGUAGCCAGUCAGCCCCAGAAGAGUUAAAGAGCGGUGGACUUUUAUAGGAGUGGGAAGCGUAUGGGUUAUCAGGGUGUUUGUGAAGGCGAUCUUUGAGUUGACAUGUGUAGCGGUUUUCCUAGGGCCACACAGCAGCUCUGGUCUGCCAAAGCACAGGCCACCAUUCACACCUCAGUUUUAACCUGGCUGUGUCCCCCCAGCCACGGACUUGAAACUGUAAAAUCUGUGCCAGUAUGAGAUAUCAGUGCCACAGAUUGGGGAAAAAACUAAUAGUCCAUUGGCACUGCGAAACAUGCCUUAAAUUUGCACCCUAGAAGCAAAGAAAAGACAGAUACAGAAACAUGAGAAAUCUCCAUUUAGUCAUAUCAAAAUCCUUUGCUAAUUGCCCUUGGGAGAAAAAAAAAAAAAGAAAAGCAUUCUAUAUAAAAGCUUAUUUUCCUCCCUAAACUCCACAGAAUCUGGUCAAGCUCCAAAUCUCUAUCCAAAGAUUUCUGAUAGAUUUCACAACACAAAUAUUUCAAGGCACUCUUGUGUGGAAGACCAUGUGUGUGCAGUGGAUAUUCCCAUAUUUUUGUUCUGAAUGGCCCUUUUUUUGCUCCUCCUAUAAAGACUACACCUUAACAGGAACGUGUAGGCAGAGAUUAGGAACAGCAACAAAACUGGUUUUCUAUUUUCUUUCCCUACACAUACCUACCCACAGCGAAUACUGUUAACUAUCAUUGCUGCUGUGAGCUGUGCACAUGAACAGCAGCUAAGUAGAUACAGCAGGCUAGGAAUAAGGAUUCAAAGACAAAUACACAAAAGACAAAUACAGUAGGAUUGGUGCAGGGGUGAAGGAGGACAGAGGCAGCAGUGCCCCUCAGCUGGCCUGCAGAUAAGGGAAGGGAAAGGGACUGUACUGCUCUGUCAAAAGAUACUGAGAGCAGAAGGGGGAGAGAAAAUGAGACACUGACCACUGGUUAAAAAAACACAGAGGAGAGAAAAUGUCACCUUCAGGGAGGAGGUGGAGCAUUCUGUAAAUGCUGAUUCAGAUAUAGUCUGAACCAGGGCAGAGAGAUAUUGAAAUGAAAAGGCUUCUGUUUACUUUAAAAAAUUGCUGUGCAAUGACUAUCUACUUGGGUCUCUGCCACUUUCUUCCCAGCAUUUUCUCCCUCCUAUAACCUGGCUUGUCUUAUUUGCAGGGGCAGUUUGGCUUACAAGCUGUUCUCUGCCAGCUCACCUGCUAUCAGAGCCAGCUUUCACAGUGGCCACAAAUUCUCCACUGCUCCUGCCUUUUGCUGACAGCACUUUCUGGAGUAAAUAUCUCUGGUAGCUCAACUUUAAAGCCCACAAGAUUUGGCACACAUCAGGUCACACUUCCUUUGUGGUCUGUUCAUUAGUGUUCUCCAUGUCAGGAUGGGCAUAAGAAGAAAAGACACAAACUGUGACUGAGGUAUGCUAAGCCUUCAAUGCCUACUUGCUAUAAGCCAGAAUGCCCAUCCCUUGGUUUUAUAAGCAUCAGCUUAACUCACAACAUUAGGGGAAGGGAAAAAAAAUUUGCACCCUGAGGCAAAUUUUCUCAUUCAAGUUAAACAUUUUUCUCUUGAACAGAAGGGUCUGUAGAGGAAAUGCUGAUACAACCUUAACCUUGGCAGCACAAGCACUGAGGCUGUGUUAAUCAGUGUAAAGAGCAGAAUCAGUGCUUUGAGCAUCAGUAAGGAUCCUUGAGAACCCUGCAUUGAGUGGUACAGAGAGCAAAAAAAGACUCGCAACUCAACAAAAAAUGCUUAGAAAUUUCCCUUACUCUGCUGAGGUUCAAAGGCUUCUUUCUCUAUAUUUGAUAUGAAAGCAAUAAGAAAAUAAAAUGUCAUUAUCCACAGUCUUAAAGCUAAAGAUAAGUCCUACCAGCAUGCAGAUCUUGACAGCUUCAGGCCAGAAGAAAGUAGCCACACACAUGUUACUGCAUAUGUAGAAGCUGUGUGCAUGUGUGAGAACAGUUGCAACAGGGACAGCCUGUUACUAGGAAGCAGAUAUGCUGUUUCAGGUUCAUGUUACCAGGAGACUUGGAAAAGUUGAAACCUAGCCUAACCAGGCUGCCAAUGGCCUCUAAUGAAAAUUUCCAUUUGGAAAGGCUUGAUGUUGACUUGGCAUGACACCAAACAAGCAGCCUGCUGCAAAAUUUUACACCAAUUGUAUUUCUCCUAAUUAAACCCUGUCUGACCUCAGCAUUAGGAAACAAUUUGUUUCAGGAUAUAACCAGCACACAUAAGCAAUUACAUUCUGUUUGCCCUGCUAGUAUUAUUUGGCUUCCAUGCUUUCCAGUGCUUCUACUAUUCCAAAUGCUGCCUGGGAGCCAGAGGUAUAGAAACUGUGGAGUGUUCAAACUUUUUUGUUGGGUAGAAAAGAAAGGAAAGAGAGGAAGGGAAGCUUACAAUGAAAAUAUCAUCAACUUUUAGUCAUACCAUAAGCACCCAGAAGUAGGGAUCAGAUGGUGCUUUCAAGUUUAUUCAGGGACAGUGAAAGACAGAAAUGAAAUGACUUAUGCAAACCACUGAGAACAUGUAUAUCAAUUUCCUACAAAUAAAAAAAAAUAAAUAAAGAGGAUAACCUAAUUAUUUAUUAUCUCUCCCAAGCUGUUCUUUUUAAUUCAGUUCUUGAACUUCUGCUUUUUAUGUGUCAGGAUAGAAAUAUCAGAAAUGACAGGCUUUGGUACCCUAGCUGUGAAACACUACACCUGAUGGAACACAGAAUGCACUUGUCUCUCUGUUUCUGACAGCCAGGGAAAAGUGACUGUGGGAAGACAAGUGAAUUAAAGGUGAAGGUGAAAGAUGGGGCCAUACUGCACCUCCAGUACUGAGGUGCAUCUGUGGAGAAUAUUCCAGUUUGUUAGGAGUCAUUCUCACUGACUGUUCAGUACCCCUCAGUCACAGAGAAGAUAAUUAUUUAAUACCAUAUAAGUUGUGAGGAUAUAGAAAUCAUUUCUGCAUCACGGUUUUUUCACAAGUCAGUGCUCUGGAAGACCUGUGUCUCCUGCAUAUACGUUGGUGCUCAUUGGGUAAGGACCUACCUUAAAGAGGAGUCUUGUGGAAGAGGAGAAGGGAGAAGGGGGUGGCCUGUGGACCACACUUUCUGCAAUGUGCGCAGGCUGGAUAAAAUGUGAAAGACAUUUGUAGACAGCAGAGGAAAGAGAGGAGUAAAACAACCAAAUGAGGUGUGCCUUGGACAGGACAAAUCAGCUACAGUUUGGAGAUCUCAGCAUUUUUAGUCCACAAUGGGAUAUGGCUAAAAACUAGAUCAGACCUUUCUUUGUUUCUUUGCUGUUGUGAGACUGAAGAAGACUGUUCAGAUAUUCAAGGAGCUGUCUGGAAAAUAGCAGCAAGAUGUGUUUGUGCCAAGGCCAUUAACCCUCCAUUCUUGCCAACAUCAAAUUAAAUAAACUGAGAAAACAAUUUGCAUAACACUGUCACAGCGAUAUACAGUCGAGGCAACCUUUUGGAAAACUGAGCUAAUGAAGAGGUAUAGUAGAGUAGACACAGUCAGUGACUGCAUAGUCAGACCUUAGAGUGACCAAGUUCAACCUCUGAAAAAACACUCCUCAGGUCUAUGUGCAGUCCUCACAUACAGUUGUGUUGGACUUCUAUGUGGCUCAUAUGGGCCACAAAGACAGGUCUUCUGCUUUGAUGUCUGUGCAAACUGCUGGUAAGUUUUCCUGGUGGUCUUCUAGAGGCUGAUGAGAUCCAGAAAUGUGCAUAAAUAUGUGAACCAUUUGAAAGCAACGAGAGAACAGCAAACAGGGUCUGUGAUUUCUAGAGAACAUGGAGUCAGCUGGUGCGAAAAUGUAUAAAACAAUCACUUCUGUCACUAUCUGUACCUGUUCAUGCUCUUUACAAGCAGUUGAACCAUCUGUUUGAGCAGAACAGCAGCAGCCACUUCCCUGGCUUGCUUUCACUUCAAGUAAGCACAUCCAGCAGACGCUUCCGUACCAGCUUUGCAUCCUGGCUAAUUUUUAUGUCCACAUGGCAGCAAAUGGAAUAGCAGGAUGUGCAAUCCAGAAUACAAGAUCUGAAACUCUGAGACACAAAACAAUGUAAGGCACAUCUGGAGUCUGAAAUCUUUAUGCUAAACAGUCACAGCUACUUACAGUUGCUUCAGAAUUGCUAUAGAUUAGCAAAAAAAAUGUAUAUAUGGAUAAUUAUCAAAGUAUGGUUUAACUUGAGAGAUUCUUUCAGUUCUCAAGAAAACAUUGGUUUUCUUGGCCUGAGUAAAUGAAAAUAUGCAUUUUACACAUUGCCUAACUAUGCUCAUUCUUUUCUAUGUAUUAGCAUAUUUAAACAAUUGACUGUAAAGAAUGUGUUGUGCAAUCCCACAUAUAAACCUGAGAGAGUAUGGCUAAAUCCUAUGCUAACUCCUUGAAAACAUAAAACUUAAUUUUAUUUAAGUACCAACUCAUGUAGUUUGGUUUUCAUUCUUGUUCUGAUUUUAUUCCCCCAUGUCAGUCUUAUCAAAACCAAAACAACUACUCAAAUAAAACCUACCUUAGCACCUGCAAAGUUAAGAAAAAACCCUACAAAAAGGGAAGCUCUCUCUUGGAGCUGUCUAGGAGCAGAUACAACAUGUUUUUUACAGUCGAUUGUGUAAAUAUGAAAAUAUGUGAAAUGGAAUAUAUUUAGGCAAGUUUUAAAAUGCAUAAUAUUUAUUCAACUCUAAUAACUUCUUAUUAGGAGUCAAUAGAGUCUAUCAACUAAAUGGGUAUUUCAACCAUUUUCAAUAGACACAUUAUUUACUCAAUAGACCAUAAUGAUUCUGAAGGAGGCAUUAGGGCCUAUUAUGCAAAUCUGUGCAUAUUGUAGGUGUAUUCAAAAAUAGUGAAAUUUUGACCCUGGCUGUUCUACAGAUCCUGAUACCAUUGCUCCUUAGAAAGCAAAUUGUGUAAACCAAGUUUGAAUAAAAUAGAAAGGUUAGAAAUAGCACAGUGGAAAUAACAGAUUUUUUUUUUUGGUUGGUCUGCAGAGCAACGAAUAUAAAAAAAGUUUCAGUUCAACUUGAAACAGUCUUUUUGUUCAGCAAAAUAUAAAAAAAAAUAAAAAAGAAAGGAAAAAUAAUUGUGUCUCAGAAGAAACAUUUAGUUUCCCACACAAUGUUUUCACUCCUUUUUUACCCAGUAGCUACACAAAUAACUUCAUUACAUUUUUGGCUGGUUAAAACAUUCUCCCAGGAGACCUGCAGUGAAUAACCUGCUUGACACUGGAUGUGAGAGUGAGAGGUUUGAACAUGAAUUUGGACCUUCGCUAAGAUGGCAAUGCCAGUCACCCGGCACUUGUGUUGGUCAGUCCUCUAAUUUUUUUCCAGUUAUACUGCUGACAAAUUAUUUCAGGCUGACUGAGAACAAAUUAAAAAAAAAAAAAUUACUGCAGGAAAAAACCCUAUAGAAAUGGCCCAUUUGUAACGGCAUGGGGAAAUCCUAAUAGCACUUGGUAGGUGACCUGAUUCAAAACUAAUAGGUAUUAAUGGAGGUGCUUCAUACAAUUUCAGUGGGGAUUGGCUCUUUGUUCCUUGUUGCAUGCCAGAUACAAAUAGAUUUCUUUAGUGAUACUUAUAAACAUCCUAGAGGAGAUAUAUAACUAAAAAAGAUACUUUUGACUCACAUAAAACCACAUGACUCUCUCUCAAAUUUAGCUGAAAGUGUCAAAACAAGUGUCUUAAUUCUUAUCAAGUAUUGAAAAAAAAAUUUCUGAAAGAAAAAAAAAUAUAGGUCUAUACCCAACAAUUUCACAUAGAGCAGUGAAUCCUGGACUAAGACAUCCAGACUAGCUCAAAGAUCAGAGGUAAUAUAAUAAAAGUUUGGAUAAAAUAUUUUGAACAUUUGUCUCUAUAGCUUGAACAAAGUGUUCAGGUACUGGGUGGAUACUACUGCCUUGUGCUUUUGGAUCUCCAAUGUAUCUUUACAGAAAAGAAAAAAAACAUUAAUGUGACAUUACAAAAUACCAAAUUGACAUUCUUUAAUUUGCUACGUACAGCAAAGUUAUUUUGAUUUAAAGGGCUCCUUUUUCUUUCCUUUUUUUGGUUAAUGCUGAAAUAUUCAAGGCCAAACAAAUGACCAAAUGACUGGGUCUGAUUGUGUCAGGAGCAGACACAUAGAACAUCUGCAGAAAAACAGUGACUUACAUGCAGCAACAACAAUGACUUCAUUACAUUCUUUAUCUGUGUAUAAUUAUGUCUAAUCAGUGUUUUUAAGAAAGGGCACAGUCCCUGGUGAGGCAGGGUUUGUGGAAAGAAGCAAUAUUUUGCAUGAAAUCAUACUGUUAAGAAUUAUGUGCACAGAAUGAAUGGACAUACAUUCUCAGUUGAGUACAGCUGGUGUAUUUGGCGAAAACCAGAUGGACUUCUGGGCACUCAGAUCCUUCAUCAUGUUCUGUUCAUCAGAAUUAAAUUGCAAUUACAGCCUGGAGGAUGACCAAGAUUAUACAACUAUGUUACAUUAUAUAGUAUCAUCUUCAUAUUCUUUACUGAAGACCACACAAGGUGAGUUAGCUACACUGCCACUUACAGCUUCCUUAGUUUUACUAGUGGCAGCAAGUAGGUUUUCUUCACAGAAUGAGGUUGCUAGGGAACAUCAGCCCAGGUUUUCAAAAACCAGGAGCUGCUGCUGAGAGCAAUGUGAGCCAAACGGCUCUCCUGUGACACUGUGCUGGGCAGCUGUUAUUGCUGGCCUGCAGUUUACAGAAGUGAAUGUGAGGUAGAAAUGGACAAUGCAUAAGAAUCAGUCAGGAAUGAAUAUGAAGAUCUGGAUAUCUUGACUACCUAGAUCAAAGAACCCUAGUCUUGCUAUGCUCAUCUAGAUUUCAUUUGCGCUUUAUGUUCUCAUACCAACAACAACAGAACUUCCAUUUUAUUUCCUUUUUGGUUUUGUCCUGUGAGAAAGAAUUAUUGAAAUGAGUUUUGGGGGCUGAUGAAUACCCUGGAGGUGCUUUGACUGAUUGCUUUCUUUUAGACCCUUUGCCUUUAACUCUCACUUGAGCUUCUGUUUGACAAAGUUAAUAGCUGAAAAUUCUUCAGGGAUGGUUUGUUAAAUAAUGUCCAAGAAAAUAAAUAUAAUGAAUGAACAAUCACAGGAGAAAGUCCUGACAUUUUAAAAAAAGUGAUUGAGUCUCAGAAGUAUCAAGCCAUGAAAUUGGCAAAGUACAUGAGCAAAAGUGAGAUAUGUUUUGUAGCAAUUAGAGGAGGAGAAAGUCUUCUCCAGGGGACCACACCUGAGUUCUUGGAAAAUCAGCCAAGAUCUGGUUGUGCCCUGCAUCCUGGCAUCUAACAGGUCAGACCUGAAUGUUGUCUGCUCAUAACUUCCCUCCCACUCUCCCAGAAUUUCAAUGUGCUUCAUCUGCCACUGAGUCAAUGGACUUUGAUAUGAGGAAGCUGGAGCACAGCUUUGAACUCCACUGAACCCAAUUAUAUCUGGUCAUUUCAGAGAGCUGUAGUGGUGUGACUCUGAACUAGGAGGUGGAGAGUUCACAGCGGACUCAAGUGAUGCAGCUGCAGCAGCAAAUUCAUCUGGUGCUGUGGUAUUGCAGUUUUUAUGCUCCAGAAAAAAACUGGAAAUCUGAACUAAUUAAAAGGAAGGCAUUUUGGCAACUGGUGUCUGACAUGUCCUGGGGUUAAUACCUUUUAAUUGCAAUGGCACAAGUGAUUCUGUUCUCACAAAGACAGUGAACUAGUCCUGAUCUCCAAUGCAUUAAGCAAGAGUGGCUUCCACCUGGUUCUCAUGGCUGCAAGUGAUUUCCCUCAAGAAAAAAGGAGAGGACCAGGAAGACCUACCUUUCCAACAUUUUAUCAGAUGGAAAGAACAAGAAACUUGCACACCAUGCGCAUGCACACACAUGCAUGAUCCUCUUUCCCAUUAAAAGGAAGUACAAACUCA